CUCAGGUUAUGCUGGACAGAACAAGCCUUGGGGCAAAGGUGAGCCAAGGGCCCUGGGGAUAUUGAAGGAGUGUUAGUCAGAAGAGGGUCUUUCUUGUCUAUUACAGUGAGAUUCACCUUUCCUGGCAGAUUGCCCUGGGCGGUGAGCUCCUGGAGGACACGGGCUGCGUGAGGGCUUUCAGAACCGCCCCCAGGCUCACAGCGCGCCUUCACAGAGUGAGUGCAGGGCCCACAGCAGCUGAAAGAAGGGGAUGAUCUCAGAGGGCCUUCCACCUCUGAGCAGCUCCCAUCGUGGCCAUGAAUGCCAAUCAUGAAAGGUACCUGUUGCUUUGGCUGGAGGAAUGCCCAGAAUGACCGCUGAGUGUGCCUUCCCUCUUUCAGUUACUCCUCUGAGCAGGAGUGGCCACCAAGCCCCUGGUGGUCAGGCCCAGCAUUGCAGCAACAAGCAGGACAGUGGGAGAGAAAAGACUCACCUUUGUUCGGGGCCUGGAGGCAGCGGUUCCACCAGGGCCCAGGGCGCAAAUGAGAAGGCCGUGCAGGCUCCGGGGGUGAUGUGAGGGACCUGCAAAGCCUCUCUUGCUCCCUCUCUCCCUGCACUGGCUGCAGCAUGUGCACUUUCCCCACGAGGCCUCCUCACCGCAGCCAUGGCACUGACUCCACUCCACCUCCAAAUGAGGACCCCGAGGCUCCAACAAGGAUGGCCUCGGUCCUGCUCUCCAGAGGAGGGGUCCCGUGCUUUGCCAUGUUCUGCAGUAGCCAGGUGCCCAGCCCACCUACAGCUCAGGCUGCCCUCUGCCCAGAAAGGCCUCGAGGGACUAGAAGGCCCUGUCCAAGGCCUCGGAGCACAGUGGGUCAUGGAUGGACAACUGAGAUCGAUAGACUCUUCUACAAGCUUGUGGGGUCCUUGGAGUCACUCCUCUAGGCUCCUCAAUUGAUGGAGGAGUAACCUCAGGCCUUCUAUCCACUAGCCCCUUCCACACUGGGGGCGGGGACGGGGGGGUGUCACAUCCUCCAUCCAGGUGCCCAGAGUGGUGGACACAGGACCCCAGACCUUGUCAGGCAUCUCUCCUCCUCAUGCUGCAGACCUGGGCAUGUUCCUAGGGGACUGGAAACCCCUGGGCCGAGGCAGAGCCACCUCCAACCUCUUUCUUCUUUGCGGCUGUCACCUCCCCAGUGUGCACUCCCCUCCUGACCCCCACCCUGGGCAGGCAGAGUGUGUUUGAGUGUGAGAGUGAGUGUGCGCCCAUGUGCGGAUGCCCAAAGGAAAGGGCCCCCAAUGGGAGGGCGUG
rnacentral:lncRNA from 1 species